CACUUUCGGGUCAUCCUUGGA
rnacentral:siRNA from 1 species